UACAGAGGGGGCAAGCGCUAUUCGGAAUUAUUGGGCGUAAAGGGCGCGUAGGCGGCCUGGCAAGUGGAAGGUGAAAUCCCUCGGCUUAACCGAGGAACUGCCCCCCAAACUGCUUGGCUUGAGACCGGGAGAGGUGAGUGGAAUUCCCAGUGUAGCGGUGAAAUGCGUAGAUAUUGGGAGGAACACCAGUGGCGAAGGCGGCUCACUGGACCGGUACUGACGCUGAUGCGCGAAAGCGUGGGGAUCAAACAGG
rnacentral:rRNA from 1 species